rnacentral:rRNA from 1 species
GACGAACGCUGGCGGCGUGCUUAACACAUGCAAGUCGAAGGAAGUGGCGCACGGGUGAGUCAUAUAUAGCUAAUCUGCCCCUUGCUGGAGGACAACAGUUCGAAAUGCCUGCUAAUACUCCAUAGCAAGGGAUGAGACUAUCUUGUAUCAGCUAGUCGGUGGGGUAACGGCCUACCGCGGUUAUGACGCGUAACUGGUCUGAGAGGAUGAUCAGUCACAUGAGAACUGAGACACGGUCCAAACUCCUACGGGAGGCAGCAGUAGGGAAUAUUGCCCAAUGGGGGAAACCCUGACGCAGCAACGCCGCGUGGAGUAUGACACUUUUCGGAGCGUAAACGCCUUUUGUUAGGGAAGCGGUACCUAACGAAUAAGCACCGGCUAACUCCGUGCCAGCAGCCGCGGUAAUAC